CCUGCAGGAAAAAUUGUCACAGGUUUUAUUCCAUGUCCAUUUGGAAGCCCACGAGGCAGGGAUUUCCCUGGCCCAAUCCGCGGGGAAACCCUAGGGAAAGGUCCCCGACCUUCGGAGACGCGCCACCGCCGGGACUCCUCCUCCAGCGAGAAGGAUAAGCCCUUCUCCUUAUUCCCCUCCUCUCCUCCUCCUGGGUUUCCGUUCUCCUCCUCCUCUAGGCUCCCAAUCUCGCUCUCCGGUCUCAGCGCUUGCAUGCAGGCACCGACGCGUGGGCGCGGCGGGUGGCACCGCGGCAGCCGGUGCAACGACGACGAGGCGGCGAGCCGGCAGGAAAAUUCCCCUAACAGGAGUGAUUCCCUUGGAGGUGGAAGAGGAUCGGUUGGUGUAGGGGAAAAUCUCUGUACGGGACUUUUUCCCGGGGGUUCCCUCCCCCUGCAUCCAAAGGAGCCCUAA
rnacentral:lncRNA from 1 species